AAGUCGUAACAAGGUUUCCGUAGGUGAACCUGCGGAAGGAUCAUUACCUUUCACAGUACAGAAGAAUUGUGUAGGGACUCCCCUCGCUAUCCUUCCUGUAUACCACCCUUGUCUUUUGCGCACUCAUGUUUCCUCGGCAGGCUUGCCUGCCGGCUGGACAAAAAUUAUAACCUUUUUUAAUUUUCAAUCAGCGUCUGAAAUAAUUUUAAUAAUUACAA
rnacentral:misc_RNA from 1 species